rnacentral:SRP_RNA from 2 species
GCCAGGUAUAGUGGUGCAUACCUGUAAUCCUAGCUACUUGGGAGGCUGAGGCAAGAGAAUCGCUUGAACCCAGGAGGCAGAGGCUGCAGUGAGCUGAGAUCACACCACUGCACUCCAGCCUGGGUGACAAAGCGAGACUCUGUCUCAA